AUGCACUCACGAUCCCACAUUCGCGCACGUUCGCACCCACUCAUACUGAAACGUAAAAGGCAAAGCACCCCACAAAAGUCCGCUUACACACACGUUCUCACGGCCACACUCAGUCACAGACAAAUGUCUGGCAAACAGUUCCAUCACGCGCCACUCCCACGGCCUCAGGGAACCACCCGUACGGGCACAGCCCUGCCGGCAUCCUCCUCCAACACAGGCGCGGGGUCCGCAGGCCCCUACUCCCAACCAGCACAAAGGGUCCAGGACCCAGAGCUCGCGGCCUCCCGAGGACUCACCCACCAGCCCGCGAACACAGGUCCAAUCCCACAACUCAGCGCCGCCCAAGUGGCACAACCGGUGCGGGACGAGUCGGAGGCGCCUGUAAGUAUCUCAUAUGGGUUCGGCUCUGACUUGAGAAGAAUUAAAACACCAUUGAUAAUGAAAGUUGAAGACUGCAAUAAUUCUGCAGAAGAGACUAAAAUGGAGAAAAUACCUAUGAAAACACUAGCCCAAUGCUUUUCUACUGUGAUAUGCUGACAAUGAGAACAAAAUGCUUCAAACUACAGCAUGCUAAAUAUCAGGAACUUGUAGUUGUUGAAAAUUAUCAGAGAAGCUUCUGACUCAUAAGCUUACCAUCAAGCUAUAUAAAGCCAAUAGAACUAUGAUACCUGUAGGAUGCAAUAGAAGGUGACUUCCUUUCACUAGAUCAUUUAAUGGGCACUGUUUCAGAGUAAUGUGAAUCUGUUUCUGGAAAGGGACAAGAGACUCCCAAACACUACUUAAAAGAGAACAUGCCCCCCCUAAAUAAGUUUGGCUUGUAUUUUGUCUUUACCCAUAGCAAUUUUCUUCUGUCUACUGUAAGAAUUAUUUUUGCUAUCAUUUUGUUAAGAGAUGAUAAAAAAACAGAGUUGCUUGUUCUAUGUCAGUCCAGCUUCAUGAUUUUUUAUACUUGGAGAUUUGUCUAGAUUUCCUUUUAUUUCUGUUACCUUUGCUUUAUAUAUUUUGAAGCUCUUUUAUUGGAUAUUUUGAGUUUGAGUUGUGAUAAUUUCCUGUUGGACCAGUCCUGUUGGAAUUUACUCUUUAUAAUAAUUGUUUUAAAAAAUCUUGGUCUAUUUUGAUAUUACUAUAGUUUCACUAUCCUUUUGGUUAGUGCAUUGUUUAUCUCUUUCUAUCCUUUUGUUCCUAAUCUGUUUUAUUUUUUUCUUAUUUUUUAAUGCUUUUUAUUUAUUUUUGAGAGACAGAGAGAGACAGCGCGAGCAGGGGAGGAUCAGAGAGAGAGGGAGACACAGAAUCUGAAACAGGCUCCAGGCUCUGAGCUAGCUGUCAGCACAGAGCCCGACGCAGGGCUCAAACCCAUGAACCGUGAGAUCUGACCUGAGCGGAAGCCAGCCGGACGCUUAACCGACUGAGCCACCCAGGCACCCCUAAUCUAUUUUAUUUUUAAAGUGUGUCUGUUAUUAAACAGCAUUAUUAUCAAAUCCAUAGUUUGAUAUAUUUAGUGAAUUUACAUUUAAUGUAAUUGGAUUUUGGUCUACCACCUUAGAAUGCAUUUUCUUUUUGGGCUAGCUUUUUAAAUUUUUAAAAUUUUAAUUUUGAGAUAAUUAUAGAUUUGCAUGCAGUUGUAAGAAAUAAUUCAGAGAUCCCAUGUGCCCUUUAUCCAGUUUCCUCCAAUGGUAGCAUCUUCCAAAAUUAUAUAUAAUGUCACAGCCUGGAUACAUUGAUACUGUCAAGGCUUAGAAUAUUUACAUCAUCACAAAGAUAGUUCAUGUGUUCUUUUGUAGCCACAGCCUCUACCCUUCUUCCCAAAGCCCCUGGUUUAAGGCCCCACAACCCUAAUCUGUUCUCCCAUCUCUGUAAUUUUACUUUUCAAGAAUAUAUAAAUGGAAUAAUAAAAUUUGUAAUUUAGGAAUUGGCUUUUUCAUGCAGCACAAUUCCCUGGAAAUUCAUAUAUGUUGUUACAUGUGUAAAUAAUUCAUUCAUUUUUAUUAUUGAAUGGUAUUCCAUGUAGACAUACUACACAUUGUUUAGUCACAUGUGUUGUUUCCAACUUUUGGCGGUUAUAACUAAAGAUGCUGUACACAUUCAUGUACAGUUUUUUGUGUGAACAUAAAUUUUCACUUCUUCUAGGUAAACACCUAGGAAAGAUUUUAGAAGGAAUUUGGUGUUUCUAAUACAAUUUUGGAGGUUCCAUUGGAUUUUCUACAUUAGAUGAUCAUGUAACCUAUGAAAAAAGACAUUGGUACCUUUCUCCAUCUGUUGUGAAUUGUGAUACCCAUUUCUUUUCCAAUAUGCAGGUACCACCCACAAAAUCUGGUUGGGAUGUUGAGACUCUUGAUGUCAUAUGUUCCACCAAGAGGGUAGGAAAAGUUUUAUUGCUCAUAUAAUGAAGCUUCCUAGGAAAAGCAGGAUGGUCUUCUCAAGAAAGUCUGCAAAUUGUUUGCAAGAGUAAGGAAAGGAAAUUGGCAGAGAGGGUUUUUUUUUUUUUUAAAUGUUUAUGUUCUUGAGACAGAACAGAAGAACGGGG
ensembl:lncRNA